CGAACGCUGGCGGCGUGGAUUAGGCAUGCAAGUCGAACGGUAGAUAUCCUUCGGGAUAUUGAGAGUGGCGAACGGGUGAGUAACACGUAGAUGAUCUACCCUCAAAUGGGGGACAACCCAGGGAAACUUGGGCUAAUACCGCAUGAGUGCAGCGCAUAAAGCAUCUUUAGGUGGGUGUUUUAUGCGUUGCAUAAAAGGUGGCCUUCGGGCUGUCGUUUGAGGAUGAGUCUGCGUCCUAUUAGUUAGUUGGUGAGGUAACGGCUCACCAAGACGAUGAUACGUAGCCGACCUGAGAGGGUGAUCGGCCACAUUGGGACUGAGACACGGCCCAAACUCCUACGGGAGGCAGCAGUAGGGAAUCUUCCGCAAUGGACGAAAGUCUGACGGAGCAACGCCGCGUGAGUGAAGAAGGGGUUUUCGGAUCGUAAAACUCUGUUGUCAGAGAAGAACAAGUUGGAGAGUAACUGCUCCAGCCUUGACGGUAUCUGACCAGAAAGCCACGGCUAACUACGUGCCAGCCGCCGC
rnacentral:rRNA from 1 species